rnacentral:rRNA from 1 species
AUAAGGAAAGUAAAGAAGGGCGCAUGGCGGAUGCCUUGGCUCUCGGAGGCGAUGAAGGACGUGAUAAGCUGCGAUAAGCUUUGGGGAGGUGCAAAUGACCUUUGAUCCAGAGAUUUCCGAAUGGGACAACCCAAUAUCUUGAAGAGGUAUUAUCCAACGUUGUUGGAGGCUAACGCAGGGAACUGAAACAUCUUAGUACCUGCAGGAAAAGAAAAUAAACAAUGAUUCCCCCAGUAGUGGCGAGCGAACGGGGAACAGCCCAAACCAUCCAUGUUACGGCAUGGGUGGGGUUGUAGGACUACGCCGUUGCAUGAAGACAUCAGAGAAGAACUUUCUGGAAAGAAAGACCAUAGAGCAUGACAGUUGCGUAUUCGAAUGUUGUCGAAGCAUAGUAGUAUCCUGAGUAGCGCGGAGCACGAGGAAUUCUGCGUGAAUCUGCCGGGACCAUCCGGUAAGGCUAAAUACUCCCGAGAGACCGAUAGCGAACCAGUACCGUGAGGGAAAGGUGAAAAGCACUUCGAACAGAAGAGUGAAAUAGUUCCUGAAACCGUGCGCCUACAAGCGGUCGGAGCUCGUUAAUGAGUGACGGCGUGCCUUUUGCAUAAUGAACCUACGAGUUGCCUUUGCCGGCAAGGUUAAGUGUGACGACACACGUAUCCGAAGCGAAAGCGAGUCUGAAGAGGGCGUAUAGUCGGCAGUGGCAGACGCGAAACCAAGUGAUCUACCCUUGGCCAGGUUGAAGGCUGGGUAACACCAGCUGGAGGACCGCACCAAUAAGCGUUGAAAAGCUUCUGGAUGAGCUGAGGGUAGGGGUGAAAGGCUAAUCAAACUUGGAGAUAGCUCGUACUCCCCGAAAUGCAUUUAGGUGCAGCCUUGCGGGUUACUGAUGUGAGGUAGAGCGACUGAUAAGAUGCGAGGGCUUCACCGCCUAUCAAGUCUUGACAAACUCCGAAUGCGCAUCAGUUCUACCGCAGGAGUGAGGGCAUGGGUGCUAAGGUCCGUGCCCGAGAGGAGAAGAAUCCGGACCACCUGCUAAGGUCCCGAAAUGACAGCUAAGUUAAACUAACGAAGUCUGACUGCUAAGACAGCUAGGAUGUUGGCUUGGAAGCAGCCAUUCAUUUAAAGAGUGCGUAACAGCUCACUAGUCGAGGAGUCGGGCGUGGAUAAUAAUCGGGUAUGAAGUUGUCUACCGAAGCAGUGGGAUCAUUUAUAUGAUCGGUAGGGGAGCAUUCCAGUCGGCGUCGAAGGCGUACCGUGAGGUAUUCUGGAGCGUCUGGAAAAGCAAAUGUAGGUAUAAGUAACGAUAAAGGGGGCGGGAAACCCCCUCGCCGAAAGACUAAGGUUUCCUGAUCAACGCUAAUCGGAUCAGGGUCAGUCGGGUCCUAAGGCUCAGCCGAACGGCGAUGCCGAUGGCAGAAACGGUUAAUAUUCCGUUACUACCUUCAGGAGUGACGUGGAGACGCAGUAGUGACAGUGCCGCCAUCUGACGGAAUAGAUGGUUGAAGGGUGUAGGAGUCGAUCAUGGCAGGCAAAUCCACCAUGAGAUCCGAACCUGAUAGUAUGCCGCGUCCUUCGGGACAAGGCAAUAGUGCGCGUAAGCAUGCUGCCGAGAAAAUCCGCUAAACUUAAUCCUGCAGGUACCCGUACCGCAAACGGACACACGUAGUCGGGAUGAAUAUUCUAAGGCGCUUGAGUGAUUCACGGUUAAGGAACUAGGCAAACUGACCCUGUAACUUCGGGAUAAAGGGUCCCUACCCUUUUAUGGGAGGGCGCAGAGAAUCGGUCCAGGCAACUGUUUAACAAAAACACAGGGCUGUGCCAAAUCGAAAGAUCCAGUAUACAGCCUGACACCUGCCCGGUGCUGGAAGGUUAAGAGGAGAUGUCAUCGAUAAGAGAAGCGUUGAAUUGAAGCCCC